rnacentral:rRNA from 1 species
UGCCUGAUGGAGGGGGAUAACUACUGGAAACGGUAGCUAAUACCGCAUAACGUCGCAAGACCAAAGAGGGGGACCUUCGGGCCUCUUGCCAUCGGAUGUGCCCAGAUGGGAUUAGCUAGUAGGUGGGGUAACGGCUCACCUAGGCGACGAUCCCUAGCUGGUCUGAGAGGAUGACCAGCCACACUGGAACUGAGACACGGUCCAGACUCCUACGGGAGGCAGCAGUGGGGAAUAUUGCACAAUGGGCGCAAGCCUGAUGCAGCCAUGCCGCGUGUAUGAAGAAGGCCUUCGGGUUGUAAAGUACUUUCAGCGGGGAGGAAGGGAGUAAAGUUAAUACCUUUGCUCAUUGACGUUACCCGCAGAAGAAGCACCGGCUAACUCCGUGCCAGCAGCCGCGGUAAUACGGAGGGUGCAAGCGUUAAUCGGAAUUACUGGGCGUAAAGCGCACGCAGGCGGAUUGUUAAGUCAGAUGUGA